rnacentral:lncRNA from 1 species
CUGUGGAGAGACAGGCAAGAUAAGCACAAACACAGGCUGCGCACAUCACCAUUUCCUUCACCACAUUGCAAUUGAGCACUUCCUCCUGGACUCUACCUGCUCCUUUCUCCACCUUCCCUGUGUCCAGGCCUUUUGGAGGCAGGUGUUUAUCUUGGUGCUGUCUGUGUUAGCAAGUGAGCAUUCAGCACAUUUGAGCCCACUCGCUUCGCUCUGAAAUAGCCUGCACAGAGUCUUCGUGCCGCACCCUCUCUGGAGCAGCUCCACUUCUGUGUUUUCAAUUGGACUCUCCAGUUCUGCCAUGCAAAAGCUCCAACUCAAUGGACAGCAGCCUCAGUGGAUGGUUUCCAUGCAUACAUCCAGGAAAAUGGGAAAGUUUAAUUGCAUAAAUUAUACGAGAAAGUGAUCUUCCCAUGGCUACUGAGCGAAUAUAUGUUAGCAUGUCAUUGAUGCUAUGCUAAAUCCUAAUGGUUCAUACCGACAUUAAACCCAAGAAUGUUUCUCAGGUGAGAAAGCUGCAGUUGUAUGCAAUAUGCCUACCUUCCUCUUGUGGGAUGCAAAGGAAAACACAUGCAUGCACAGGCAAAUGUUCUUAAACACAC